AGCGCGGGGGACGGAGCGGGAGACGCGGUCGCGCCGGUUGCAGCUCCCUCGGCGGCUCCGGGAUCGGCGCCGCUCGGGUCCCGCCAACCCGGAGCCCCUCGGGAAAGGUUUUGCUGUGGGAUAUUUUGUCAUUAUGAGAUGUCGUCUACCAGUGCUUCAUUUGUGCAAAUUAAAUUUGAUGACUUGCAGUUUUUUGAGAACUGCGGUGGAGGGAGUUUCGGGAGUGUCUACCGAGCCCGAUGGAUUUCUCAGGACAAGGAGGUGGCAGUAAAGAAGCUGCUCAAAAUAGAAAAAGAGGCAGAAAUACUCAGUGUGCUCAGUCACAAAAACAUCAUUCAGUUCUACGGAGCUGUCAUUGAACCUCCAAAUUAUGGCAUAGUUACAGAGUAUGCUUCUGCUGGCUCACUGUUUGAUUACAUUAAUAGUAACAAAAGUGAAGAGAUGGAUAUGGAUCAUAUCAUGACCUGGGCAACUGACAUAGCUAAAGGAAUGCACUAUUUACACAUGGAAGCUCCAGUGAAAGUUAUCCACAGGGACCUGAAGUCCAGGAAUGUUGUUAUAGCUGCUGAUGGUGUGUUAAAGAUCUGUGAUUUUGGUGCUUCAAGGUUCCACUCCCAUACGACACACAUGUCAUUAGUGGGCACUUUUCCAUGGAUGGCCCCAGAAGUUAUUCAAAGUCUUCCAGUGUCUGAAACAUGUGACACAUACUCGUACGGAGUGGUUCUCUGGGAGAUGCUAACAAGGGAGGUCCCCUUUAAAGGCUUGGAAGGAUUACAAGUAGCUUGGCUUGUAGUGGAAAAAAACGAGAGAUUAACCAUUCCAAGCAGUUGUCCCAGAAGUUUUGCAGAACUGAUGCAGCAAUGUUGGGAUGCUGAUUCAAAGAAAAGGCCAUCUUUCAAGCAGAUCAUUUCAAUCCUGGAAUCUAUGUCAAAUGACAGCAACCUUCCAGACCAGUGUAACUCAUUCCUGCAUAACAAGGCGGAGUGGAGAUGUGAAAUUGAGGCAACCUUAGAGAGACUAAAGAAACUGGAGCGUGAUCUGAGCUUUAAAGAGCAGGAACUAAAGGAACGGGAGCGACGUUUGAAGAUGUGGGAGCAGAAGUUAACUGAACAAUCAAAUACUCCUUUGCUGCCCUCCUUUGAUAUUUGUGCAUGGACUGAAGAUGAUGUGUUUUUCUGGAUGCAACAACUUACUAGAAAAGGCGAUGCUUCUGGUGAAAUGAGUGUCUAUGCUAGCUUGUUUAAGGAACAUCAUAUCACUGGGAAACAAUUGCUUCUUCUAGAAGAAGAGGAUUUAAAGGACAUGGGAAUUGUUUCCAGAGGACACAUCAUCCAUUUAAAGACUGCUAUUGAGAAGUUAACCCAUGACUACCUGAAUCUGUUUCAUUUUCCACCGUUAAUUAAGGAUUCUGCAGGUGGAGCUGAAGAAAACAUAGAGAAAGUAGUGAAUCUUGAACUUGUGUUUGGUUAUCACUUGAAGCCAGGAAAUGGUCCAAAGGAUUGUAAAUGGAAAAUGUACAUGGAGAUGGACGGGGAUGAAAUUGCAAUAACCUACAUAAAAGAUGUGACAUUCAACACUAACCUACCUGAUGUAGAGAUUUUAAAGAUGACAAAGCCACCGUUUGUAAUGGAGAAAUGGAUUGUGGGGAUAGAAGAACACCAGUCUGUAGAAUGUGUUGUUACAUAUGAGAGUGAUGUUAGAGCUCCCAAAAGCACCAGGCACAUCCAAGCUAUCUGCUGGAGCAAGGUGAAAGCACAGGACGAGGUUGAGACAGUACAGCUCAUGAUACAGACCUCGGUCCCCAACUCAGAGGGGAAUUCGCGGAGCAGAUCUGACUCAGGCAUUGACAGUCAGUGGAUGCAGACACUGCGUAUGCUUCAGAUAGCAAAAGCCGUUUCUCACCAGCACAGCCACCCCCACAGCCCGACCACAGUCACCCACUACCUGCCCUACCUUCACAGCCAAGACUCCUACGCUGCAGCCGUCAGGAGGACACCCGCUCCUGUCAGUCACCAGUUCACCUCCAUCAGCCACUCCAGGAACUCUUCUCCUAUCUCACAUAGUUUGAUGAGAAACCUCUCGAAUCUGCAUCUGAACUCAAAAGGCAGCAGUGCCUCCAGCACAGCCUCAGACACUGCUUCAGAGAGGGACAGGUCUGCUGGCAAAGGCAGAAACACCCCACACAGCGGUAACUCCCGCAGCUCCUCGGGCGGGCGGCACAGUGGGACCAGCUCCCCAGUGCCCCCCCGACACUUGGGAAGACCCAGCAGGACUUCUUUGCCAGUGGCCCCUCCGGCCUCCCAGCACCGCAGGUACCUACAUUUUCCUUUUCCAGGGUUUAAAAGGUUCUGAAUUAUAAGAAGCCAGCUCUGAGAUGGCUGCUGGAAUGGAUGAUGAAAAACAGCAGAGAGCUCAUGAAGGCAAAUUCAGAACUGGACAUCCAAAGUGAGUCAGCAAUCAUUCUUUAGCUCAGAGCUGGGUCUGAUCCUGGUGGAUGUUGUCUUCCUAAGUACACAAGUUUCCUCAGCAGCACUGGUGUACCUGCCACUACCAUCAGAAGAACUGGCUGUAAGAGGUCAGAGACAUGGGCUGUGAACCAGCUGCCAAUUCAAGUGCCUGUGGAACCCUGCUCCUGAGCGUAGUGGGCAGCACGUGAAUGUGAGACUCCUUGGAGCAAAAACAUUGCCCAGCCCUGCAAACACAGGCUGCUUUUGUUCCCAUACAGCCAGGGCACGAGGGGCUGCCCAUAUGCAGCAUGCUCAAGAGCCAAAGGUCUUUCUGAAAGGGGGAGAGCUGCUCAGAGGGCUUUUGUAGCAGGUCAUCUGCCUGAGUUGGAAGAGCAAAUUCACAGAAGGAUGAUUGUCACAGAGGUGACAGCCCACUGAACUGUCGAGGGGGGCCCAAAAUCAUAAACAACUCCAGGCUGUUCCUCACCCUAACCCCUUGUGACAUGAGCAGACUGUCAAUCCAUCUCAGGGCAGUGGAGCUGCAGAGGUUGCUUUUUAUGGCCUGGGCAGGAAUUUCCCCCAGCUCAGUGUUUGAUUUGGGCAGCACUGUAAUCUCUUUCUCUUCCAACAUUUCUAGUUCUUACUUUGGCCUCAUAUUGAUUUCGACAGACAUACCAAAAUGUAAUGCCUGCACUGUGCUUGUCAGGAAGAUAAACAGAAGUAAUGAUCAGAGAGGGGAGAUGAGGUGGCCAUCUGACCCCUUUUCACUGGGGAAUGCAGCUGCCAGGAUUUCAGCCUGUCCAACUGCUGCCAUGGCUCCCUGUACCUCUGUGCUGGGGGAAAUCUGGUCAUACUGCCUGGGUGGGAUGGGAUGACUGUGGGACCUGCUCAUCCUCCGCUGAUGUUGCUGAGACCUGCCUUCAGCAGGGGGAAUGCCAGCAGCCCCUCUGUCUCCCCAUCUACACCUAGAUCUCAGUGAUGCUGUGCCAGUGGACAAAACACUGCCAUGCUCCCAGGAAUGGUGGGUCUCAGGACUAGGUUUCACAGGUGGUGUUGCUGCUGGUUGGUUUAUUUCCAUGAAAUGCUAGAGAAAGUAAAUCCAGUUCCCGUUCAGCUGGGAGGGGAGAGUGCCCCUUUGUGCCUCCCCCCACUGCUGCCAUGGCUGAGCUAAUUCUCCAUGAGAACCUGCUUUCUAGCUGGCAUCGGUGUGAAACGUGGAUGGGUGUUUUUGGACAUUGUUUACUUUUUAAAGAAAGUAUUUGCUAUUGUGCAGUUUUGCUCUAUCUUACCUGCUCCCGCUGAUUAUUUUCUAGCAGUUGGCCUUGUCUGACAGCAUGCUGACCACAAUCUGUCAACUUGCUGAGCUGAUUUAAGGAGCAGAGGUUGCUUAAACCCUCUGUCCUUCCUCACUCAGAGCAAGAGCCCCCAGGCAGGGCACCUCUCACCUCUGUCCUCCUCUCUAGCUCAGCCCAUGCUGCUGAGGAUCAAACUCCAUGUAUUUCAAGACUUCCUAUAACUUGCAAGCUUGCUGCCAAGAACACUGGACUGUGCAUCAACUAUAUGCAAUUGAUUUUUUUGAUUGUGCUAUAGAAUGCACUUUGACAUAACAAUAAUAAUAAUAAUUAUUAUUUUAGGCUGGGAAAGACGGGCAGUGGCUUAUGUAACUGUGGAAAAACCCCAAACUAAGAGACCCCCUAACAUCUAAUGUCACUAAAAUGGAACCAAAUAGCUGUGCUACCUCUGAAAAUUACAUCUGACAGAAGUAUUUCCUGUAUGUGUCCACCAUAGAAGGGUUUUUACAUAAUAUGCUUAUCUAAUGAAUUGCCAAAGCAUAGCAGUUCGAGCUAGUUUGUUGCAAGAAGUUAGAGGUUAGAGAGGAGAAGUCUAUUACAGCAAUAACACUAAUAAGGGUCUGCCAAGAUCACACUUGAGUACAUGUAAAUACAGGGCAUUUGAGAUUAACAUCUCAGAGGACAGAGGAAUGGUGCUGAGAGGCAGUGACCGCUUGGGAAAAACGAGAGCUGAGGCUAGAGGGUGCAGCCUUUCCCUGCAGCUCCCACUCCAGCACCACUACGCUCCCCUCAGCCCACAGCAGCCGCAGCCCACUGCUCCCGCCUCUGCCACCCCCUGCCCGAGGGUCGGAGCCUCUUCCAAGAAAUUUCUUGAGGCGGUUUGGCAGGUUCUGACGGGCGGCAGGCGUGAACCCUGUGCUAUGUGGAAUGAAGUGACUUAAUAUAGCUGGGGCUCAACAUAUACAUUUGGCAAGCAAGGUGAGGGCUUCCUGCAGCAGAGAGGGCAUUUCCCUCAUGCUGUGAAAAAAUCCAAGGGCCUGAAAACUUGAGAUGUGCCCUGGGGACUCCGUAGCAAGCCCUGAGGGAGGCUUUUUACCUGCCCCUCCCACUUCGUUCCUUCUGAGAGAGCUGCCAGGAGAGAUCCCUGGGGAGAAGGUCGUGCCACCGCUUGUCCCCCCACUCCCACCCUCUCCCAGCAACCACAUUUUGUUGAGGGCUGGUGGAGGUGAUGCAAAUCAACAUUUCCAAAGCGGCAGUGGCAAAGCUUGUAUAACAGGGAAAAAACCUAGACUACAAUAAGUAUUUUUGAUUAUUUUCUGAUAGCCUCCUGUUUCCCGCAGCUAUACAUUUGCAGAAUAUGUUGUAAGCGAUUUCUUUAUGAUGUUACUAAAUGUAAUUUGUGUUUUCAAAGGGAAUUAUAAAUCAAAAACAAUGAAAGGGCUGGAAUCCUGAGCUUUUAAAAGUGGCUACUGCAUAUCAACAACAGCUACUUUUGGUCAACAUUUUUUGCUAUGCGUUUUGUGGAAUGGCUACAGGAUACUCAAAUGAGCAUUGUAAUUAAACUCCCAUCAUGUGCAUCAUAAUUCUCUGGGCUCCCAAUGAUCUGCUAUGACUUAUACUUGGAAUAAUCAUUAAGGUUUCUAUUGAAACUGGCCACAUUUCAUCCAUUCUCUUAGUGCACUGAGGAAUAUAGUAUCAAUCACACUUUUUCUCUCACUGAAUUGUAUUAUUCCUCUAGUUUUCCUUCUCUUACUUUUUUCAUUUUUAUGGUCUUGCCAGUGUCAAAGAAACACAGUAUCGAAUAGUAUCAGACAUGACCACCUUCAAUUCAACAUGCAGGAUGCAUUUGCACUCAGCCUUUACUAAUAAGGAAGUUACAGCAAAGCACAAGGAGAUAAAAAUCUGACAAAUUAAAAGAAGAAAAUCUAUUUCUCCUUGGAGAGACAAAAAAAGGAAAAAUACACUAAUUGCAUUGGGGAGGUAUUUUGUGGAGCUGGUACAGUUGGUCUUACUAUAAACUGAUUUGUUUACUAUAUAAACUGAUUGUACACUAUAAACAUUUGAAUUUAUAUUUAUUUUACAAAAUCUGAUUCUACCUAUCAGAGCACAGUGUCAAAGUAUUUACAUUAAGAAGGUACUCCAUAAAAAUUCACGUCCAGCAAACAUGUAGACAUCUAACUAUAAUUAAAUCUUCAAAAGUGGCCAUCCUCCCGCUUCUGUAUAAGAACAAGUGUGUCCUUUCUGGGUUGCAAUCAAUAGCAGGUUACCUGAUUAUACACCUUAUUAUGUCUUGUAUAGUAGUGUGAGCCGCUGGAGGGUGACAUGUGAACAAAUAGAUAUGCUUGAUCAGAUCUUUUCAAGAAACACACCUUACAGGAGAGAGAAAAACAAUUAGUGUGUGUUAUAGGUUACCGAUUUACAAUUUACAUCAUAAAUCAAUGUCUGAUUAUUUUAAUGCAAAAUGUUUUUAGCUUCAUUUUAUUGCACUAAUGGUUUCAAUAACACACUAUAAUUUGCUCAGAUAGAGCAAUUGAAGAGGUGAUUGGACAGCUCUUACAGAAAUUUUUAAUUACUGUCAUUAGUGGCUGCAAUCUUAUUCUUUUCUAUGGAGCUAAGAUACAGGUUAUUGCAUUGUGCCACAAGUGCUCUGUGGCCAUGAGAAUCCAAACUCUCUCUUUCCUCUGAAAUGCUUGCUUCUAUAAAUAUGUGUCUGUGCAAGUCUCAUCACAAUAAUUACUAGCAUCACACAAACAUUAACUAAUGUACCCAGAUACUCUUUUAGGCAGGUGUGGUGGUACAUCCCCACCCUUGGGCCGUGCUAUGAUCUCUGAAAUACUCAUUAGGCCUCAGCCUUGACAAACAGCACCUGGGCUUAGCUUCUGUUGAGCUUGUCAGAAACAGUGUCUGCUCCCAGGAGCUUAUGCUAUCUAGUGAGCUUCUAGUUUUUAAAGAACAGACUUGAAAAGUGACUUUUCUUGCCUGAAUAACAACCCAGCUGAAAUAAUAUUUUUGUUAUCAGACUUUCAAAGAAAAGUACUGACCCAAAUUGAGGCCAAGAUGAAAAAUUAUUAUGAUUAAAGCCAACUGUCUUGCAAUCCUAUAAACAGCAGUCCUAAGUGAGACUCUUUGAGCCCUCUUGGACCACAGUGGACUGCGACCAGCAUGUCCCUCUGAGUGAGAUGCCUCUCAGAGCCAGAGAACUCUCAAGUUUGCUGUACUUGGAGGACCACCACCGAACACCAACGAUGGAGCCUGUGCUGAUACCCCCACUCCUCAAAGCUCAACCUAUUGAGAAGAUGCACAGGCAUCUGACAUGAGCACUUCACUAAAUUCGAGGGGAAUUUUUCAAGUGUAUGUACAAACCUUCUACAUACAUUUAGGUCUGUGUGUGUGUGAGUGUGAAUAUGCUAUAGCAAAUGUAGUACGAAUGUUGCUCUCUUAGUUUCUUAAGUAUUUUAGAUUCAUAAGGAAUUUAGGCCUAUAAUUGAGUUGCUGUUGUGCUAUAGAAAAUUCUAUAAGAAUCUUUUGUCAAAUUGUGUACAUUAAGCUAUCAAUUAAGUGCUGUUAAGUUUAAGUGCUUUUAAAAACUUUUAAGCCUCAACCAGUGUUCAAGUCUGGGGCUAAGUUUGUCAAGGAGGUCAAACUACUCUGAACUUUGUGACUCAACAGGAACGUCUCCCUUAUUCCUUUCUAUCCUUAGCCUUUCUCAUACUUACCCUUUUUCCAUGUAGAUAAUUUUUGGUUGAUUUUAGUUUUAGAUUCAUUGAUUUUAGAUUUCAGUACAAUUUUUCUCUGUGUGCUUUAACCAUCUAGUAAGUAGAAGAGUAAACAUUGCCAACGAACUUUGUUAUGCUUUCACUUUUGUAUUAAACCUGCU